GGAUGCGAUCAUACCAGCACUAAAGCACCGGAUCCCAUCAGAACUCCGAAGUUAAGCGUGCUUGGGCGAGAGUAGUACUAGGAGGGGUGACCUCCUCGGAAGUCCUCGUGUGGCAUUCCU
rnacentral:rRNA from 1 species